rnacentral:lncRNA from 1 species
AUUUACAAAAAUAAUUCUUUGUACUUAUAACAAAGUUUAUUCAUUACUCGUAUGUAAGCAAGUAUAAGAAUGUUUGUGAGAACAAUUGAAGAAGUCCUUAGUUUAAGGAAAACCAUCAAAGCUUGGAUUGGAGCAUAAAGAUGAUAGAUGUAGCUAAGUUCGAUAUCGAACCAUGUCCAAUGAGUUUGCAUCUUUUUCCCCUUCUCUCUCACUUUAUUAUAUUGAUUAUUAUUUAUUAUUGUUCAUUGUAAUUGAUCUUAAAAUUUAGCUUAAAAG